UACAGAGGUCUCAAGCGUUGUUCGGAUUCAUUGGGCGUAAAGGGUGCGUAGGCGGCGCGGUAAGUCGGGUGUGAAAUCUUGGAGCUUAACUCCGAAACUGCAUUCGAUACUGCGGUGCUUGAGGACUGGAGAGGAGACUGGAAUUUUACGGUGUAGCAGUGAAAUGCGUAGAUAUCGUAAGGAAGACCAGUGGCGAAGGCGGGUCUCUGGACAGUUCCUGACACUGAGGCACGAAGGCCAGGGGAGCAAACGGG
rnacentral:rRNA from 1 species